rnacentral:rRNA from 1 species
CACGUAGGGGGCGAGCGUUGUCCGGAUUUAUUGGGCGUAAAGAGCUCGUAGGCGGCUCAGUAAGUCGGGUGUGAAAUUUCAGGGCUCAACCCUGAAACGCCACCCGAUACUGCUGUGGCUAGAGUCCGGUAGGGGUGCGUGGAAUUCCUGGUGUAGCGGUGAAAUGCGCAGAUAUCAGGAGGAACACCAGCGGCGAAGGCGGCGCUCUGGGCCGGAACUGACGCUGAGGAGCGAAAGCAUGGGUAGCGAACAGG